rnacentral:lncRNA from 1 species
UAAGGAUGUAAUUUGGAGGAAUAACAAUUAUAUUCCAAUGAUUAAGUACUCGAAUAGCAUGGCAGCAAAGGAUACCAACAAAUUGAAAAAGUUGACAGCUACACUCAACACUUUGAUCUUCAGAGUUGAAGGUAACUUUAUGCUUCCUCAUAGCCUCAAACAAGCACACAUCAUAUUCAUAUAACACUAAGUUCUGUGCGUAUUACCAAAACAAGAUUACAUGAUUUUUCAUAUUCCCCACGAACAAGAGAAAAAAUUGUCGGUGUAUAGACAUCUCUUGCAUUUCUCAAUAACAUGAUGUUCAUAUUCAAUGAUGGCAUCUUCUGGCUCAUUUCAUAUUUAGACUCUACC